rnacentral:rRNA from 1 species
GUGAAUUGCAGAAUUCUGUGAAUCAUCGAGUCCUUGAACGCAAAUUGCACUGUUGGUCCUCCAGCAGUAUGUCUGUUUGAGUGUCAGCUACUUUAUCAUAAUCAAUUUUAAAUUGAACAUUGAUACUUUGUGUGUAAAAAAGCACAAUGUAUUUAAGUGCAUUGAUUCUUGAUUGAUUUAUUAUUAUUUUUGUAAGGAAUAGUGGAUUUCAUUUGAAAAACAUUUUUGCUUACAUGCAUUUAAGCAAAAGCAAUAAUGGUUUUCUUAUUUGGUUUUCACAAUAAAUGUUCUUUACGCUUACAAAAAAAAUAAUGAUGGUCUAUCACUUAAAAGGAUCAACAAAAAAAAAAACUCCUUUUUUUAAAAUCUUGACCUCAAAUUAGGCAAGGCUACCCGCUGAAUUUAAGCAUAUCACUAAGCGGAGGAAAAGAAACUAACUAGGAUGUCCUCAGUAACGGCGAGUGAAGCGGACAUUGCUCAAAUUUUAAAUCGGGGGAUCUUUCGAGAUUUCUUGAAUUGUAGUUUUUCGAUCGGUCAUCACGGGGGC